GGCAAUCGCUCAUCCACCAAUACAGUGCAGCACCAAAUUUGCGCAUAAUCGUGUCCCGACUCACACACCAACCAAAGAAGAACCGGUGAAAAAAGGCACCAGCAGAAGCAUAAAAAGCUGCUCAGGGACCUUUUGCGUCAAUCCUUCGCCGAGCCAUUCAUCCUGCCAACCGACAAUGAGCAACGAUCCGGAAAAAGGGCACACCGAAGAUUCAUACACAUAGCGUUAAUGCUAUGUACAAACAGUAGUCGUCGGUCUUCCACUCCUGCUCCCAUUCCCAGCAAACCCAGGCGUUUGUUGCCUUUCACAGUCGUUCUUCAGCGACGGCAGAUGAUGAUGAUGGCAUAUUAUGGCACCCAAGCAGGCCAUGUGCCCUGGGUGUGUCUGGGUAUUGGUGCUCAUUUCGCCUACUACGAGCGAGCGAGCGCUGGGUGACGCCCCCUUGCUCGACAGCUCUCUUUCUCACUCGUGCGCUCAUCACCGCGAGACUCUGCCACUUUGGCUCCCAGAGAUCGCGCUGGGACUCUCAUGGGGACGGGUGAUGAGAUGUGGGGGUGCGCUGGAGGAAAGGAGAGACCCCAACAAAGUGGUAGUUGCUGCUUGUUAGCUCAUUAUGAAGCGGGCGGAAAACUAACAGUAACGAAAUGUUUGAGCAAACAGAACGAACCGAGAGAGAGAGGGAGUCCGCGGGAGUGGUUUGGGCGGUAGUUGCGCUUGUUGUGGAGAAGUGAUGCGAAGAAAAGUGCAGCGUUGUGGAAAAUGUACAACAUCGAGAGAAACCUGCUGCUGCUGCUGGCACUUGGACACGCCAAGGAGUGGGAUCAUCCUGCGGCUGUUCGGAUCUUCUUUUUUUUUGAUCCAGAAGGAUCUCAUCUCAUCCUCCGACCCAAGAGGAUCCCGCAAAACAUAAGAUGAGAUGCAUCCCAAUUUGGCGAUUGUCGGUCAGCGUGCAAAAUUUAGCAUAUCCCACGACCGCAUUUUGGGCGAUGCUGCAGCUGACGGAAUCCACUCUGGGCUCCGAUUCCACGGUGGGUUGGUAAUCCGGUUAGAGGGUCCGAACACUAUGGGUGAGAAGAAAUAACAAAAACCUAAUGAGGCCGGCCGGCCGGUUCUCUUUGGAACGUUUCCCGGGUGUUUUGAGGAUGCCGCCACCAACGGGCCCGAGUUUGCAAGAUCAAGGCGGAACCUCGUUAAUCCGACUAAAACAUCCGUAAUCCGGAACCGGAGAGCCGUGGGCGGCAUGCCAGUGAUGAGCGGUAUUCUUGACGGGAUCAAUGGGAGAGGUGUUCUACGUGGAAUUGGUUUGUUCAAAGUAGUUUGAAUGAUUUUUUUUUCAGGGAGUCUGUGUUGGGGUUGGAGUCGGAAUCGAAGUUGUUGUAGGACUAAAAGUUGGAGUCGCUCAAGUAGGCCAUUUGGAAGAGCAUUAGUCGAGGUAGUCCUCAAAAAGAGUCGUCUCCGGCUUCGAUUCCAAUGAACAAAAAAAACUAAACAAAACUCAAAAAACCGUUGUUCCUCGAACAAAGACCGACUCCUACCGCGGUCGACACGUAUCCUCAAUUCAAGAAUUUCCAUAAAUGCACAACUUUCGCUGAAAAGCGACAUAUCAGCGUGAGCUCAUCGUGAACAUUUCCCAAUCACAUUCGUCCCCGGUCCUCGGAUACUCUUUGACCCAAUUCCCGUCGCGAUCUGAACAAGAACAACCUCCAGCAGGGCACCAACUGAACAAAACUCCGACGGAGAACACUGUUUUCGAUGUUCAUUCCACUCUCACUCGAGUCGCGAAUGUCGGCAAUUCCGAUCAGCCGGAGGAUUGCCGACGGCUAGCGGUCUCCCGUCGGUAGGCAGCUCUCCGGAGGGGACCCGUUUAAAUGGCCGUUGAGGGGCAAGAUGUUGUAAACUAUCGCCACAUAUGGUGCCUGUUCGUUGUGGUGAAAGGACAGCUGCUCCAGGGCUGCCGGGAUUUUUUUUUCCGCCAUCGAUUUAGGUACUCUACAAAUUUUAGAGCUUGUUCUUCCAUGUCAUCUGUUGCAGUAUUUGAAUGCUCCCAUGACCAACAACGGCGCCCACCAUGUCAAAUUGUAGAUCUCUAGAAGAAUAGCAUGGGACAUUGUGAUAAUUCCAAUACCAAGACUAAAUCAGAUCAAUCAAUGAUCUCAAGAACCAACCCAGGACAACUUACCCUAACCUCAACGAAAGCAAACAGCCGGAAAAAGCGCACAAUUCGAACACUUCCGCUCAGCAGCAGCGUAUACGUAAUCGUUAGGAGGUUAGAAUCGGCAGGCAAUUGCAUCAUAAAACACUGUGCUGUUGAAAAAGUUCGCCUUUUUUCCGUUCCGGCCGGCAAAUCCCACCCCUCAAAAACUCAACAGAGUCGUCGUCGUCGCCCAAAACAACCUCUCUAAUUGCCGAUAAAAUAAUUAUAAUGUGUACAUUUAAUAGCGCCAACAAUCGACACAUGCUCGUGGUGGAAGAGGGAUCGAGAGGACUAAAAAAGGACUGGGAUGGAGGGAAACGUUACCUAAACUUGUUUUUAGGAUGUUUUUUUAUUCAUGUACUGUGGGAUUGAGUACAUAAACAUCAAUAUGGUACAGAUUGAGAUGGCUAAAAGAGCUAUUUGCAUUUUGUGUAUUUUUCCACUUGGACUGGCGGGACUGCGAUGAUGAGCGGCUGGAUAAGUUAAAGAGUUAAUUAAGGACUUGCAGUAUAAGCUUAUGAAUCUUCAUAAAUAUCAAUAAUCAAUUCUGUCUUAAUCAAAUUUUAAAUAAUAUUUGAACAGCAAUUUUAAAAUUUACGUAAAAUGUGAUUAUUUAUCUGCAUUUCGUAUGAACUAUCCUAAUUUUUUAGGUUUGUGUAGUCAAAACCCCGGAAGGACAAGUCUGAUUUGGAGUAUGUGAAAACAUGUCUUUGAUAAAAAGACAUUUGUUAAACCUUAUUUUUGGAUAUGUUUAAGAUUAAAAAAAUGCCAUCCUUUGAGCUAUGGCACAAGUUUAAAAAAAUCAUUUGGCAAUGUUGCAAAUUGGGACCUAAAAUAUUAUUGUUCACAAUGAUAAAGCUUAUUUUUCUGAAUACAAUGACCCUUUGUAUGACCGCAACGGAUUUAAAAUGGAUUUUUAUAUCAAUUUUAAAAGAUUAACUUCGCGGGUCAUCUUGACAAAAAAGGUCCUAUAGGAAAUAGAGGAAAUAUACCCUUUCUAAUCAAACACCUAUCUUUCUCAUAUGGAGAGUUUGAUGCUCGAUUAAAGUUCCAAAAAUAUUAUUUAGUCUUUAAACUAACUAGCAACAGCACCACCUCGAGUAAGCACGCAAAUUGAUGCCACUUACUGGCCAAAAAAAUCAAAUUUAAUGCACUUUUGAUCAUAAUUUCUAUUUUUCGAGAUCAUUUCUCAUCAUUUUGUUGGCACACACAAUGACACACGCGAGAAACCCUCAAACGCCUAAUGAAUAUCGCCAAUAUCAACUUUUCACUUUCGCUGGCUUUUUCACGGCGCUUUCGAUACAAAACUGCUUUCGGCAAUAUGUUCUUUUGCACAUUAGUUAGUCACUCAUUUGGAAAAUAAUCCCGAAACAUGUAAAUAAUUAGCAAGCGCCAUCAAAAAAACAAACGCGUCAAGUCUUUUGACAUUUAACUUUUGACUACACAUUCCAAUCGAAGGCUGCAGAAAACCGAGCGAGAAGCGAAGGCAAAUAAAGAACAAAGGGUGGCCACCAACGCUACCAGCAGCGCAGCAGUGAUGCCAGGAAA